ACGAACGCUGGCGGCGUGCUUAACACCUGCAAGUCGAACGGAAAGGCCCUGCUUGCAGGGUACUCGAGUGGCGAACGGGUGAGUAACACGUGGGUGAUCUGCCCUGCACUUCGGGAUAAGCUUGGGAAACUGGGUCUAAUACCGGAUAGGAGCCAUCUUUAGUGUGGUGGUUGGAAAGUUUUUUCGGUGUAGGAUGAGCUCGCGGCCUAUCAGCUUGUUGGUGGGGUAAUGGCCUACCAAGGCGGCGACGGGUAGCCGGCCUGAGAGGGUGUACGGCCACAUUGGGACUGAGAUACGGCCCAGACUCCUACGGGAGGCAGCAGUGGGGAAUAUUGCACAAUGGGCGCAAGCCUGAUGCAGCGACGCCGCGUGGGGGAUGAAGGCCUUCGGGUUGUAAACUCCUUUCGCUAGGGACGAAGCUUUUUUGUGACGGUACCUAGAUAAGAAGCACCGGCUAACUACGUG
rnacentral:rRNA from 1 species